GUGGCUGUAGCUCAGUGGUAGAGCACCAGGUUGUGGCCCUGGGGGCCGUGGGUUCAAUCCCCAUCAGCCACCCCA
rnacentral:tRNA from 1 species